rnacentral:rRNA from 1 species
CCUACGGGAGACAGCAGUGGGGAAUAUUGGGCAAUGGAGGCAACUCUGACCCAGCAACGGCGCGUGAAUGAUGAAGGUCUUCGGGUUGUAAAGUUCUUUUCUAAGGGAAGAAGAAAGUGGCGGUAGCUUAGGAAUGCGCCUCGGCUAACUACGUGCCAGCAGCAGCGGUAAUACGGAGGCGGCAAGCGUUAUCCGGAAUGACUGGGUGUAAAGGGGGCGUAGGUGGUUUGACAAGUUAGUAGCGAAACUCCGGAGCUCAACCUCGGAACUACUACUAAAACUGGUGGACUUGAGUGCAGGGGGGGCAGUCGGAAUUCCUGGUGUAGCGGUGGAAUGCGUAGAUAUUAGGAGGAACACCAGUGGCGAAGGCGGAUUGCUAGACUGUAACUGACACUGAGGCACGAAAGCGUGGGGAGCAAACAGGAUUAGAUACCCGAGUAGUC